rnacentral:rRNA from 1 species
UACAGAGGUCCCGAGCGUUGUUCGGAUUCAUUGGGCGUAAAGGGUGCGUAGGCGUCUUCUAAGUUUGAUGUGAAAUCCCGGGGCUCAACCCUGGAAUUGCAUUGAAUACUGGAGGACUAGAGUACCGGAGAGGAAACUGGAAUUUACGGUGUAGCAGUGAAAUGCGUAGAGAUCGUAAGGAAGACCAGUGGCGAAGGCGAGUUUCUGGACGGUAACUGACGCUGAGGCACGAAGGCCAGGGGAGCAAACGGG